AGAACGAACGCUGGCGGCAUGCCUAAUACAUGCAAGUCGAACGAACACUUCGGUGUUAGUGGCGCACGGGUGCGUAACGCGUGGGAAUCUGCCCUUGGGUUCGGAAUAACAGUUGGAAACGACUGCUAAUACCGGAUGAUAUCGAAAGAUCAAAGAUUUAUCGCCAGGGAUGAGCCGCGUAGGAUUAGCUA
rnacentral:rRNA from 1 species